GUUCCAACCAAACUUUGCCAUUACAGGUAUCGGAUUACAAACUCUGACAGAAUUCGACGAGCAAGGUCAGACAGAAUUUGUUGAAGUAGAUUUCCAAUGACUGGAUGUUGUUCCUGGUGAAAAUCCUUACCUAUUUCAAGGCUUCCAUUGGCUGGAGAAAUCACAAAAGACCCUUUUCAAGGUGCCACACAGUGAGACAGAAAUGAAGACAACAUGAUUGGGAAGCAUGCUGCUGAACCAAACAGCCUCACCUGCUACUAUAUAUAGUAUAUAUACAUACAUGCAUACACACCACACAUACACACAUAUGCACACUAUGUAACUAUAUACAUAUAUGUGUGCAUAAACAUUCAUUCCAACAUUUUAAGUAAAGAAAACUAGCAUGUCUUGAUUCACAAAUUUGAGAAAUAGAUAAAUAAAAACGAAAAAUAAAUAAGAUAUAUCAAUAAACAAAUUGUUCAAAAUUUAAUCAAUAUUUAUUCAAUAUUUAAGCCUGUCAUUUAAGUGCUGUCAUUUAAAUUCUGUAGGGUUUCUUACAAUCAUUCUCUACUCUGUCUAAUGACAGAUACAAAAAGAAGGGGGAAAAAAAUCAGAAUUAUUUGUUUAAAUUUCCAAAUCUAACUUUUAGAGAGAGAAAACGGGAGAAUUAAACAAGUAAAUCGAUUUAUUUAUAAGUGAACUAUAAUAUAAGGAAAGAAAAAUCUAUCACUAAGUCACAAAGAGCAAAGUCAGACUGACCAAGCUAAUGAGCUUUAUGGCCUCUUCAUGGCAGAGGUUCAUUCUCUGAUAGUAGGAUUAAUGUUCUUAAGUAGCAAACAGCAAGCAGCACAUUGAAUUUGUUUUUCUUUCAACAAUAUGAUAUGCAAUGGAUUAUACUGCAUAUAUGUGUAUACUUACACACACACAUACACAAACAAACAAAUGCACACACACAUUGGGUUGCCAGAUGAAUUUGUUCAAUUUUGUCUAUUUAUUUUUACCCUUUGUUAUUUGAAUUAACAUGAAAAAUAUUAUAUCAUAGUGUUCUAUGUUUUUUUUUUGUAGUUCUAUUCUUCCUUUACAACUUUUGUUUACCAUCAUCAUCAUCAUCAUUUAACGUCCCUUUUACCAUAUGCCAAAGUCAAACGUUAUUUUUGAAAUACGAAUAAAUUUUAUCUUUUCACAGACUAAUAACAAUGAAGUGCUAAGUAGAGAAAGAAAUGAAUGAAUUUAUCUGACUACCUAAUAAUGUAUAUAUAUAUAUAUAUGUAGCAAGAUAACAGGAUAUACUGACCAUGUUGACUGAGAUA